ACAACCACUCCUACAUCCACUCCUGCAUCCACGCCUACACCGACACCCACACCACCUACGUGUCCUGAAUGGAAUGUUACACAAAAUGAGACGUUCUACCUGUGCAACUGCACCAUGGCCAAGUGCAUUGAGAACAAUACAAUUGAAAUAGUUCCAUAUGAAUGCCCCCCCAUUAAGGAGAUUACUUGUGCAAAUGGAAAGAAACCAGUUCUUGUGUAUGAUGAGUACUACUGCUGCCAACAUUAUGUUUGUGACUGUGUAUGUGAAGGCUGGGGAGAUCCUCAUUACAUAACUUUUGAUGGAUUAUACUACAGUUAUCAAGGGAACUGUACUUAUGUUUUAAUGGAAGAGAUUUUACCAAAACAUCACUUGAAAAUUUAUAUUGAUAAUGUCUUUUGCGAUCCCACUGAAGAUGUUUCUUGUCCACGAUCACUAAUAAUAUCAUAUGGGUCAGAAGUUGUAACACUCAUUAAUCAUAA